rnacentral:lncRNA from 1 species
UUCAAUCUGGUCAGGAAGAGGAUGGGCAGCAUCAACCUCCACAAGCACUCGAGCAUAAGAGAUCUUCUCAUAGUGAGCAGUGAAUUUAUCAGUAUACAAGGGAUUGCCCACGGCACUAGCCAUCUUGCUCAAUGCAUCAGUAGACCAGUAACCCACAGGUAGUCCAGGAAAUCUUAUCCAUACAGGAAUGGUGCUUACAAU